GCAGCCUCCUGAGGCCCGACCACAGCCCGAAGGGAGGAGUAGGCCUGUUCCCUGAGCACUGAGAUACAAACCGGCGGCGUGAGCGAGGGGAUCGCGACCGGGCGCUCUCCGUAGGCAGCGCGGGCGCUGCCAGUGCUUGUGGUGAAGCAGUAGCAAGAGAUACGGGCUGCUAAAAAAAAAAAAAACCCAAACAAAUGAAAGCGGAAGACUUUACCUGUGAUUACAACGUACUGUUGGGGGAGGAGAAGAACGUGACAGAAAUAAAGCAGCCUGGAGCUGCAGCCUGGAGACGUGGGAAGCAUGUGGCUGUAGCAAAAGCACUGGAUGAGGAAGCGUUUGUGUCUUCAAUGUGAUGAUACUACACAAGUUAUGACCUGAGCAUAAAGUAAUUUCACCCUCAUCUGCGCUCAUCCCAAAAUGUCCUUUCGUACGGUCUGCUCCCACCUCUGACUGUGAAUGUUAACCUCAUUUCAGUGCAGCGCUAAUGCAGCACUGGAGCCUGUGCUGGCAUGUGUCUGAGCCAUUAGGCUGGGGGGGAUCAUGCUCGAGUCAAACUUCACAGCAUAAGGCAAUCAUCUUUUAUUUUUUUUUUUACUUCCUUAUGUUCUGAUCGAUUUUGAUAUGCAGUGUAAAUGUCUCUGGUAUGUAUAAUGUAUAUCAUUAACACAAGCCUGAGUAGGUUUGAUUGCUCUUUGGUUGGAACGAAAUAAAGGAGCAUGUAUUUCGAA